rnacentral:rRNA from 1 species
CCUACGGGAGGCAGCAGUGAGGAAUAUUGGUCAAUGGCCGUAAGUCUGAACCAGCCACGUAGCGUGGGGGAAGACUGCCCUAUGGGUUGUAAACCUCUUUUAUGCGGGGAUAAAGGUGUCCACGUGUGGAUGUUUGCAGGUACCGCAUGAAUAAGGACCGGCUAAUUCCGUGCCAGCAGCCGCGGUAAUCCGGAAGGUCCGGGCGUUAUCCGGAUUUAUUGGGUUUAAAGGGAGCGUAGGCCGGUCUUUAAGCGUGCCGUGAAAUUUUGUGGCUCAACCAUGGGAGUGCGGUGCGAACUGGAGACCUGGAGUGCGGGGAAGGCAGGCGGAAUUCGUGGUGUAGCGGUGAAAUGCGUAGAUAUCACGAAGAACCCCGAUGGCGAAGGCAGCCUGCUGCAGCGUUACUGACGCUGAAGCUCGAAAGCGCGGGUAGCGAACAGGAUUAGAUACCCGAGUAGUC